CAGCGUUCAUUGGAGGAGAGAGAGUCGUGUUUGUGGGAGAGAAGGAGGAGGAAGAACCCAAACGAAACGUUUUUCUCGCUUUGUCUUUUGGCAAUCGUUCGUUCUCCUUGUUGUUGUACCGUUUUAUUGUUUUGUUCCCGUUUUCUGAUUUAAUGAAAUGAUAACGUCGGAGAAGCAGAAGCAGAAGCAGAACCAGAAGCAGCAGCAAGUGCAGCUGGCAGAAGCAACGGGAUUAUUACACUGGCAAACAAUUAACCCAUUAUCCAGAUAUUUCAGAUAAGCAACCACUCAAAAUAAAAAUAUCCUUGACGAUAUCAUCCAGAUAUAGAAUAAUGACAACCUUCGUUGUGCGUUCCUUUAUAGUAUAGAAACUACGAAUUUAUUUAAUUGAUAUUUAAAUAUAAAAAUUAGUUCCUAUUCGUACGUGUAUUAUACAGAGAGUAAUGAAUAUUUAUGGCUUUUAAAUCGUAAGCGUAUAUUAGCCCAUUAAACAGACAGAUUUUCAUAGAGCUACAAGUGUGUGGGUUUAACUAAGCUUAUUUAAGUGUUAAGUGUCUGUCGGUUGUACGUUGGUGAGAAUAAAAUCAAAUUUUGUACUAAAAUCAAUGAGAGAUGGUGUUGUGUGUAAUGGAUGCACGAGUAUUGAUAUAUACAAUUCGAAACACAAUGUAAA